GCUGCAUCUCAAUCUCUUGUGCCACCAGAGAGGCCCUACCUGGCAAUGUCUAAAGAAAGUUUUCUUGCUGGCGUUCUUGUAGAUGUGCCUCCUGCACUUGCGGUGCUUGUACACUGAGCAAGAAAUUCCAGGUACUUUCUUACUUACUUGGACUGUGCACUUUGCAUUUGAAGUUUGCUUCUCCCUCAUCACUGCUGAUGAGUCACCAGAAGAAAAACUGCUUUGACAAACUUCCAUAGCUGCCUUUGUUGCUCUGUGUUGACAAGAAAAGAGAAUGCUGUUGGCAAAAUUUGACACAGCUGGCUGCUUGUUUUCUUGGAGGACCCAAAGCUGACAUGGCUAAUCACUCAUGACACUUUCCUGCUGAGCCCACUUGUAGAUGCAGACUGCUACAGACAGUAAGUGCCAAUUGAUCAGAGUUGGCAAACAAGAUGGGAUCUAUUUGCAACCCUUGGUCUCGAACUGUCAGGCACCAUGCUCUUUGCUGCUUUGAGACUGACUCUAUCCAGAGACAUCACCAUGUAGACCUGGAAUAGAACUGAAGAGACAAGUAAGUGACCGAGCACAAGAGGACAAGGUUUGUAACUCACAGGAAGAGCAUAUUCAGGUAUCUACGGCUCAUGGAUACUGGAUCCCAAAAAGAAUGAUUAAAGGAAUUGACGUGAACCUGACCUUCAACCUGAAGCAGAGCUGUGCCCAAUAGACCUCCAGUCUUGGGAGCAAGAAACAGACUUGCAUAUUCACAAGUGAGAAAUACGUAUGAGUACUCACUGUGUUUGUUGUUACAAGCCACUGAGAUUUGGGGAUUGAUUUUUAUGCAGUGUUAUUACAACAAUUGUUGACUAACACUACAGGUGUGUAGUAUUUGAAGUUCUCGUCUGCCUUUGAUGGACAGCCUCUCAAUGCAAGCAGAGUGCCUGAGCCUCGCCAGAUGUUACCCAUUGGAGCAAUGUAGCUGUGUGACUGGGAAUAGAAGCUUCGCUUACCUCACCCUGUGAGCUCAGCACACUGAUGGCAUCUAAGACAGGUAGAAAGCAUGGCUCAGAUGCAGGUGGUCAUGCCACCCUAUAAGGAGAUGCAUCAUUAACUUCAUAGCAAUAAAUUAAAGUGGUUUCCACUUGCUUAUCAUAUC